GAGCAAGGGGUGGGGUGGAGUGGGGGGAGGAGUGACGGCGGCGAGAGAUUUUCUCAGCUGCUAAGGAGUAGAGCGCAAUGAUCAGGGAACAGUAUGUAUGAAGAUAAAAAGAAAAGGAAAGGCGAAAAUAAGAAGGAGAGGAAGAUAGGAGAAAUACAGGAGAAGCCGUGGCGUUCGGGCAGGUCAGGAACUCGUUGCCAUAUCAAUAUACCUAAGUGAAAUGAUACGAGUCGGCCGUAAAGCUCGACAGUAAUGACGCAUUAGGGGGUUGCCGGGCCGAUUUAGCCGGCUAUCAAACAAAAGGCAACUUUUACCGGAUCCGGCCGAGGCGGUCGGUGUCGGUGUCGGUGUCGGUGGCGAUGGCGGACGAGCGAGUUGGCUGUGCUGACUGGCGCGCGCGCGCGCGCGCUCAUUCUCUUUCUCUCUCUCUCUCUCUCUUUCUCUCUCUCUCUCUCUCUCUCUCUCUCUCUCUUUCUCUCUUUCUCGCGAGCUCGAGCCCUCUUAAGAGGUUCGGCUGGCGCACUCGCGCCGAGAAAGUGCCGGGCCACUUAUACCUGACGUUUUAUGCGUUUUAUAGGCGCGACGUGAGUUUCGUGUGCCAAACAGCGCAUAAAAGUGCAAUCAGAUUGGUCGUUCUCGUCGUUACUGCGUUACGGAUUAUUCAUGAGGACUCCGCCCGCUAAAACCGAGUCCUCCGCGCGCGCUCCAGCUUGUUCCUUGACGCGAGUCCCAGUCACCGCGAGAACUUCCAUUAACAACGGGAUUAUUAUACCUUUAUGCCGUCUUAAAUAUAAUCGCUUAUCGCGCGGCACUUUGUACCGAUUACGUUUCAUGUCCGCGAACCUACUGUGAGUGGACUCCCAUCGCUUAGUUAUUUAUAUUCAUUCGCAAUUGAAACUAUAUCAAACUAGUUUCUUUCUUGAUUUCUAAUAAAACGGAAUCGAAUGAAACUCUACUUAAGAAAACUUGAAACCGUUCGGAUUAAGAAACGAUAAAACGUAAUCGAAUGGAAAGGAGAGAGGAAUGAGAAAUGUAAGCCUCUCUGGGAGAUCUUUGAAAUUUUUUCCACGUGUUUUGUGAUCGAAAAGACGAUCGUCUCAUGCGAUCGAAAUUGGAAAAUUAGUUUCGCGUCAAAAGGAGCGAGUAAUGAUAGUCUCCUUCAAAAUUCGCGGUUGUUUCUCGAACGAGUCGACUUCAGCGAGUCCUCACUUCCGAAAAAUUAAGACGGAUAAUGACUAUAAUUCGAUCGUUCUUAAAAUUUCCAGUAAAAGCUCCAAUUUUCAUACAAUGUUGCUCUUCUUAAACACUUUUAACGCCGAGAGCGCGAAAAUUGCGAGGCAAAAACCGUUCUUACUCUGAUCGAAGCCCUGCAUGGUAGUAAGGUAACUAGUCUUUUAACAAAGGGCCGAGUCGCGAUACUUAUCGAUUUUAAUUCGGUCUGUCGGCAAAGUACAAAAACGCAAAAUUUUGAUCGUUAUCGUCUUGCGCAUCGAUGUGUCAAGAUACGAUCCAGAACCGGUUUUUACAAACUACGCCCAACGAAAUUCGAUUGUAAAACGAAGAAUGAGAACUUGGACGUUCGAUAGAUCUCGAUAAAAUUAAACCACAAGAAGAAAUAUCAUUCGACAUCGUGAUGUAUGUAUGUAGGUACCUACCUACCCUACCUACGAUCAUUUUCAAUCGCUUAUCGUAUCAACCAUAAAGUUACUCGUAUUCAUUAAGAAACAUGCCAUUAAUCGAUUCUCUUCUUGAUUCUCUUUGGUCUUUUUAAAUUUAUUUGCAUACGUUAAAGAUGAUUAAAGGAUUUUUCCUUUAAGUUGAAUCCUCGAAUAUUUAAAAUUAUGCCUUAAAUUGUCCAUUCCAAAUGGAAAAAGAAUUAAGCGACAUACUUUUUGGAAAAUAAAAAAACAUAUCAACAUAUGAUUCUGAUUUGUUAGUUUGAAACGAUAAAACAACCAACGUAUAUUCGACGACAAUUUCGCAGUAUCGUUUAUUAAUUACUCGAAAUGUGUCUCGAAUUAGUCGCCCUCGUAAACGAUACGUCACGUAUUCAAUUUACAAUCGCGCUACUCGCGACAGAAUAAAUUAAUGUCCGCUCAAUAGUGUCUCUCUCGCAUAACAAAUGUCGCAUUAUCGUGCUUACGCGCAUGUACUGCGUUUAGAAGAAGAAGAAAGAAAAAAAAAAAACAAAAAAAAAAAAAAGAAGACAAAAAAAAUGGACGAUUCAACGUUUCUCUUCUUUCUCAAAAAACAAUCAUCUUCUUUUAAAAACAAGGAUUACGAAAGACAUUAUACCCAGAUAUUUGGGUACAUAAAUUCGUUUGUCAAUGAACGUGAAACUAAACGAAAAAUUUCAUUCCCCACGAAAUUCCAUUGAUAUUGAUCGAAUCAUAAAAAACAAUCGCCCUUUGCGUUACGAAAGCUAGAUAUACGCAGAUUUUGAAAUAAGAGUAACAUCAACUUGGUAGAGAGGAGCUAGAAAUAGCACAGGGUGAACCUAAAGAGGAAGGAGUAUGAAAGAGUGGUGCGAACGAUCGAUGGGUUACGCAUAGGCGUCUCUGCGACGGCAAAAUACCCAUAGGCGAGAAACUUUUCGAAAAGCACGUUACUUUAACUUAAGAGCAAUCGACUCUAUACGAGAUAGUUACUUUCAAGAUGAAAUAUAAGAAAGGAGGAUGAGGGAAAAGAAAAAAGAAAACGAUACCUUCGAUCGCGCAUCGGGCCUUCGAAUCCAUAAGUGUUUUGCUCCCGCGUGACUCUUGCAGCGGCACGUGUCAAAGGGUAAAAGAGGGAAGAAGAAAGAGGAGAAAAAGCCGCGGCGGCGAAGCGUUUGCGUGUUUGUGCGCAUGCGAGUAACGAAAAAGACAGAGAUGGAUAGAGAAAGAAAGAGAAAGAGGAACGAAGAGCGUGGCUACAUCCAAGAUGGCCGCUGCUGCUUCGUCCUCACCCCACGUGAUUCUUCGUACUCACUCCUUCUCUUUUUCUCUCUCAUACACAUACACACAACGCAUAUGUCUCUUUCUCUUUUUCUCCACCUCUCUCACUUUCUCUCUCUCUCUCUCUCUCUCUAUCUAUCUCUCUAUCUCUCUCUUUCUCACUCGUUGAAAGACCAGCUCGCUCCUCGUCCAAAACCAUCCACACGCAACUUUACACAGCUUCGCGUUUACGCCGAAUAUUUUUAAACCACCCAGUCAGUAUCCUCCUCUUCCCACUUUUGACUCUCCCAAACUUAACUUCUCUUUCUGCUCUCCUACGACGCAUUCGUAUUUCUAAAUCAUCGAGGUUGCUUUACGGCGACGAGGAUGCGCGAAAACGUGCACGUCGUCGAUCGUGCAUUGAGAACGCGUUCGCUCGAACUUUGUCGCACGAUACGCACCCUGAUUCGAUCUACAAUACAGAAGGGAAAGAAAGGGAACCAUAGUGGGGGAUGACGAGGAAAGACAUCGUAAGGGUAGAAUCGAGUGUUUUGAUUUCACCAGAGAUGAGGACAAUUAUUGGAAUUCGUUUUACGAAUCUCUAAAGUGCUCGUUUAUGCACGAGUAAAUUUGAUUAACUAAUUUAAAAAAAAAUUUAAUCGAUUUUAUCGUUGAUUUAAUAAUCGUUUUUAAAGGAAGGAAUAAACGUAUCAUAAUUUUACGAUGAGUUUUAAUCACUUUUAAAGUUUCUAUUAAUAAUUAUUGCAUACUCACUGUAUGGAGACGGAUUAUGAUUUCGAUAAAAAAAAAGAGAGAGAGAGAGAGAGAGAGAGAGAGAGAGAGAGAGAAUGAGAGAGAGAAAGAAAGAAAGAAAAAUUAGAUUGGAUAUUCUAUGAUAAAAACGAGCGACUUCGUAAUUUCUCUCGCAUCCGAAAAGCUCGUUGAACUUUGGUAAAGCGGUUCGGCACGAAAGGUUUCUAGUUCGAGAGUCACGCGAGAAGACGUACGAUACAUCGCGUGUGGAAACGAGAAAAAAAGAGAGAGAGAAAGAGACAGAGACGAAACAGGGAGCAUGUGUGUUUUGUGUGAUGUGUGUGUGUGUGUGUGUGUGUGUGUGGUACGAGAGAACGAAAAGAAAGAGAGAGAAAGAGAGAGACAAAUAGACAGUAGGAGAUGGGCGACGGUUUAGCGAAGGGGCUUUUCGAGAAAAAGAGUGGGGGUAGAGAGAGAGAGAGAGAGAGAGAGAGAAAGAGAGAGAGAAAGAGAGAGAGAAAGAGAGAGAGAGAAAAGGAGGGAGAAACGAGGUACGUCGACACGAUGGACCAAGGAACGGCAGCAGGGAUGGAAGGAAGGAGAAUCCAAGAUGGCCGACGCACGAGCGCGGCGUGCGCAUCGCGCUCACCGAAACUCUUGACGAGGGCCACGGAAGCACGAUGUGGAAGUGCGAAGCACGAGACAGUGAACUUUCCCGCGAGUGAACUCCGCUCUCGUCGUCGGCUUCCUCCGAGAACAACUUCGUGGACCAGGAGAAAUGCGAGGACACGCGAAGCGCGCCGACCACGCCCAGGUCGCCACGACGGCGGCCAUCUUGAUCGCGUGAUGCACCACGGUACACGAGGCGCUGCAACCCUAGCAACCGACUCUACUAUCCUUCGCUGACGCCAUCGGUCAGAAUAAACGAAUGCUAUUCUUUAUCGAAGAGGAUAGUUGAUCCAGGAAACAAAUUGCGGGGGAUCGCAACAUGGACGACUUAAAAUCGAGGAUGUUGCAUAGCUAUCGACUGUGAGAAUGGUAGGGAGCUGCAAGCGUCAUUUUGCAGCCAGGUGAUGCAGCACGUGACCGCCAGAUGGCAAAGAGGACAUCUUCUUGUUCUUGCGUUGCACCUCUCAUUGCAAUCCAUGAGAAUCGAUAGAACGAUCUUUUUUUUUUUAUUGUUUCUCUUUAUAAAUAUUUUCUUUUAAGAUUUAAUCACAUCUCGAAUAUUUUCGUAAUUUACAAUAGAUAUCUCAAAUGUUUCUAGAAAUAUGAGUAUUUCUGAUACAUUAAAGAAAGAUUCGUUUUGAUAAGAUUCCGAAGAUUUUCCUUAUCGAAAGUUAAUUUUAAAAAAUAUCUAUUAAAUAAAAAAAUUAAUUCAAUACAUCUAAUGAAUAAUAUUAUUGUAUCUCUCUUGUUUAAUCGAUGUCCAGAUAAAUGUGUCUUCUUAAAUAUAAAUUUCAUAGAAUGAACUAUUCUUUGAUUGUACAAAAAACGAUCGUUUUAAAAAGAACUUCGUUUUUAUCGUAAUCGAACAAACAACAUUCUUACUUUGACAUGGCAAUUUUAAAAGUAGCAAAAAAUAUUAUAAUAUGUUUUAAUUAUUUUAUAAACCGUGUUUUUUCUUCCUGUCGCAUGUAAAAACAAAUUCUUGAUUGCAAUCUGUAUUAAUGAAAUUGUUAAUCACGUAUGUAGACAUAAAAAGUGACAAAUUCAUUGGGCUCCUAAUGAUAAAAGAAUAUAAAAAAGAGAAUAAAUUGUAUCUACUUAUCGUUGAAAAACAAGAUCUAAAUGUUAAUCGAUAAGAUAAAAUAAUAUCUAUAAGAAGUAGAAUAAUUAGUAUGAAUCGUUUCUAUAUUAUAUUUUACGUAAUAAUACAUCCUAUCGACGGCAAUAUUAAUAAUAGCCUUUAAAUAAAUUUAUUCAAAUAUUCUAAAAAUGUGUACUAAUAAAUAGUUGUAAAAGAUGACUAUUGUGAAUAUUUUAUUCAUAAUGAUCUCGUUAGACACUUUCAUAGACACUAUGAAAUAUCGACACAGAACUGGCAAAUUAUUUCAAAUGAAUAUCAACUAGGAGAUAUUUAUUAUUUUUAUUAUUACGAGCACUCGA